rnacentral:rRNA from 1 species
AUGGAGGAUGUGAUCUUCGAGGGUGGGCCUGGCCGUGCCUACGACCCCGACGAGACCCAAAGUCAGGAUGGCCGCGCCCAGUACGUUGCCGAUGAAGAGGCCGCCGACCGUGCUGACUACGACCAUGGUGACUCGUGGCAUGAAGACGAUGACAUCUAUUGCGAAGGGGAUGGUGAUGAAGAAGUCAAUGACAUUGAUAUUGGUGGCGAGCCAUUGUUCAUCGACGAUCUCACCCAAAGAGUGGACGCACAAAAGAGGAGGAAGAGCAUUCGCACGGGUUCAUAUACACAAGAUGAGGACAAGUUGAUUUGCCAAUGUUGGAUGGAGAUUAGCCAAGAUCCAAAGACCGGCGCGCAACAAAAGGGCCUUGUUUUUUGGACGAGAGUCCACAAAACAUUCCAUGAAAGGAAGGUGUUUGAGCCCUACCAAAUUACAAGCAACCGUGGCAUCACCUCGAUUCAAAAGAGGUGGUUGUUCAUCUAA